AUUGAACGCUGGCGGCAGGCCUAACACAUGCAAGUCGAGCGGAUGAAGGGAGCUUGCUCCUGGAUUCAGCGGCGGACGGGUGAGCAAUGCCUAGGAAUCUGCCUGGUAGUGGGGGAUAACGUCCGGAAACGGACGCUAAUACCGCAUACGUCCUGAGGGAGAAAGUGGGGGAUCUUCGGACCUCACGCUAUCAGAUGAGCCUAGGUCGGAUUAGCUAGUUGGUGGGGUAAAGGCCUACCAAGGCGACGAUCCGUAACUGGUCUGAGAGGAUGAUCAGUCACACUGGAACUGAGACACGGUCCAGACUCCUACGGGAGGCAGCAGUGGGGAAUAUUGGACAAUGGGCGAAAGCCUGAUCCAGCCAUGCCGCGUGUGUGAAGAAGGUCUUCGGAUUGUAAAGCACUUUAAGUUGGGAGGAAGGGCAGUAAGUUAAUACCUUGCUGUUUUGACGUUACCAACAGAAUAAGCACCGGCUAACUUCGUG
rnacentral:rRNA from 1 species